UACAGAGACCUCAAGCGUUAUCCGGAAUCAUUGGGCGUAAAGCGUACCGAUAGGUGGUUUUACAAGUCAGAAGUGAAAUCUCUCAGCUUAACUGGGAGACUGUCUUUUGAUACUGUAAAACUUGAAGGGCAAAGAGGAAGCUGGAACAAACGGUGUAGUAGUGAAAUGCGUUGAUAUCGUUUGGAACACCAAUAGCGUAGGCAGGCUUCUGGGUGCCACUUGACACUGCUAGGACGAAAGCGUGGGGAGCGAUAAGG
rnacentral:rRNA from 1 species